rnacentral:lncRNA from 1 species
UACAUAUGAAAACUUGGUGGAUUCGAAAGUUCACAUCAUAAGCUCUAUUAUCACUAGGAUACUCAUCAUAAUUCAUGUACUCAAACAUGAAUCACAGUAUAGGAUGUUUCAUAUGUAGGAAUAAUGGUUCAUUUUCUAGCUUAGAAAUAUAUGGGGUAUUACAAUAUCUCCCCAUUGGGAACAUUCGUCCUCGAAUGAGACUGACUGAGAGGGGAGUA